CUGGAAAGACUGGCCCCUCUGGGAAUGACCACCUUCCUUUGGAACAAGGGAUUCGGCCGCAGCCCUUCUGAGAGAGACCUGGAGCUUUCGAGUGGGACUUCGAGCGCUCCUGAUCCUGCCGCUGGGCGAAGCCUCUGACUACUAUUCAGGCCGCUGGACUGGAGAGUAGAAGCUACCUAACGCCAGCCAAGCCAGUUUGUGUCCCCCCAAGCUCUUCUGCUUUGGUUUCUUUUCAAAAAAUAAAAACACUGGGAGACAAUACACCAAAAUGUUCACAGUAGUUAACUACAGUAUAUUAUAUGUAUAUGACUUUCACAUUUUGGUUUUCAAUUUUUGCUUUAGAUGUCUUUUCUAUGAAUUUGCCAAAAUUUCCACAGAAAUGCAUGAUUUCCAUCAUAACCAGAAAAAAAUUUAAGUAUUUAAAAUGGAUAUAUAGUAUGAUCCCAGUAACAUAAACAUGCAUAGACAAAGUGGGAAGGAAAUAUAAAGAAUCAUCAACAGUAUGUUAUUUUUUGAAAACUGGGACAUGUUAUCCUAUUCUGCUUUACACUUUUCACUAUUUUCCACCUGGUAGGGAAAAUAAAAUCGAGUAAGAUAAAUUAGGUCAUUUUCUUCAAUGGCCAAGAGGUACCAAAAUCAGAUAAUUUCAAAAGCUCUUAGGAAUUGUAAAGAAAGGUAAUGUAUAAGUGUUAGUAUGAAGUUAAGUUGGUCGUAUUUCUUACUGUAAACUAUCAAAUUACCUUGGAAUACUAGUCUUUCUGUAUAUAAGACUAUUUCUCCAUGGCAAAAGUUAACUUGUAGAUAAGCUACUAAAAAUUUCAGAACUACAAGUCAGAGAAAGCCCUAGAGUGACAAUAAAAUUCCAAAGCCAUUCUGCCUGUUCACAAUAUUCCUGUUGUGAUAACUGCAGAACACACACUCAUGUGGUGAAUUACUUCUUUCCUCCACUACUAAGCUAAAAAGAAAGAUUACCAUACUUCCACCAUACUUGUCUCUCUGGAGGUUAAUUAGUUAUGUUUGACUUGAUGAAUUAAUAAGUCAUAAUAUCCUGCAGAUUCUGUAGAAAUAUGCUUUGACAUUUACAUUUGUGUGAAAAUCAAUACAAUAUUUUUUCGAGCAGGCCCUAUAAGCAGUUUCCUAUUUCUUAUAAGGAAAUUCAUCGUGUUUACUUGGUAAUCUUUUAAAAUGCCUAUAUAAGCUUGUUAUACUUUCAUAUAAUUUUAAUCUAUUAAAGAAAUUAAGGACUUUCUAUAGUAACAAACUAACAAUUGUAUAUUCCUUGAGAUUACAAAGGCUUUUUCAUGUGUAGCAACUUUUUCCAUUCUUGUAAUAGUCCUCAAAGGAGCAUAUCUCUAUUGAUAAAUAUGAGAAAAGAGAGAUGUCAAAUGAGUAUUGUAACUCAGAAAUAAGCUGGAAACUUAAACUCUUCUGAGUAUCAUAUCAGGCAUCUAACAUCCAUUGCUAACCCUGUGAUAUUGAAGUGAUUAAUAUAACUUUUACACUUCUCUACUAAUAUUUCAGUGCAUUUUUGUCACAGAACUCUCAAGAAGAAUACAUGGAUUCUAAUUUCAUAAUUCUGAUUUUUAGCCUUUGAGAUAAGCACUGAACAACGAGUUGUAUCUCACACAUUGAGAAUACUUGUUGGGGCAUAAAACAGGUACAAAUAAGCUACCCUUUAUCUCUGCAAUACAUUCCUAAAAGAUCUGUUGCUAAAGUGAAAUGGUGUCUGAAUUUCACAGGAGAAAUUCGUAUUUAUAUAUAUAUAUAUAUAUAUAUAUAUAUAUAUAUAUGUUCUAUUUCAAGAAGGAUGGGAAUGUUCACAGAACUAAUGGUUUUCAAGAGAUACAAUAAUGAUAAAAUACUGUCCAGGUAAUUACCAUUUUCUACUAUCAAAUAACUUAGCUCAGCCUUACAGGUAUAUAAAGAACACAAACAGCUUUUAGAAUAAUUUAUUCUCAGAAAAAGCUUUCAUAGUUGUAGCUCUUACAUUUUAAAAAAAAUUUAUAUAUAAUUUAAUAAGUGGUACAUUCCUGUAAUUAUAACAUACUGCUAGGCUGAGGCAGGAAGAUCCCAAGUUUUAGCCCAGCUUGGGCAACUUAGAGACUUUCUGAAAACCUGUCUUAACAUUAAAAAAUAAAAAGGGGUCAGGAUAUAGUCCUUCGUUCACUCAAUACCAAAAAGGUCACUAAACCAGUAAAUCUAUUUUUCAGUAUGAUAUUCCAUGAUAGCCACAUCUACUUUUGGUUUUGCAAUUUUAUACAAACUUAUAAAAAUCAGAUUUACCAACUGAGCCUAUGGAUGGUAAAUGCGAUUUUUAAAAAUUCUCAAAACUUUUAUAUGUACAGAAAUUUUCUGUACAUUUUUAUAUUUCCCCAUCAUCAAUUUUAGUUAUAUUCUUAGACUGUUCCUUCCAUUUGCAUAAAAUUAUGUACUGGGUAUUGAAUAAGGCUCUUUUCAAAUGUUAUUUCAUUAUAUAACUAUACAAGUAUCUUUUAAAGCAUACAUAUAAAAGAGUAUGCAGCUGCUAUAAAUGGUUCACUUUAGGAGGCUGAAGCAGGAGAAUUACAAUUUUAAGCCUGUCAGAGCAACUAAGUGAGACCCUUAAAAAAUGAAAAUGACUGGAGAAGUGCCAUGAAGGCACUAGGCUCAAUCGAGCUACAAAAUUUUUAAAGAGUGCAUGCAAGUAACCAUGAAUACUAUAUAAAUGAACAUACCAUCAGCUAUGAAACUGAUCUGUGGCCAACAUCUUUGUAUCAGCCUAGGAUUUAUUUCUAUAUCUUACCCCCUAACUUUCCUCCAGUUAACUCCCUAUCCUAAACUUUGUGUAUCAUUCCCUUGUGUUUAAAAAAUAACAUGUCUGUAUCCAUAAAUAAUGUUUUUAGUUCUAUUUUCCGAGGCUUAUAAAAAUGGCAUGGUCUUCUAAGUACUAUUAAUGAUUCCCUAGCACUUUUUUCACUUGCUAUAUUAUUCUUGCACUAUGUAAUUGUUAAUUCAUCGCUACAUUGCUUGCAAAAUAAUGUUUUGCAAAGUCAUGUUUCAUUUGUUUGUGUCCAGCUACACUUGGACUAUGAAGAACUCCUUAAAAGAGUCUCCCCACUUCUCUCUACCUACUCAAAAUACAUUUACCUCUGUAUAUAGAUCUUGCCACACUCCAUAUAGCUGCACCUCAAUCAUUUUUGCUACUAUCCAAUAUUCCAUUGUGUAGUUCCAUAAUUAAUGUAACCGUCUUCUAUAGGUGUGGAUAACAGAUUAACUUAAACCAAUUUAAACUUUGGUCACUCCAGGGACUUUGUGCUAUUUGAGGUCAUAUGGUUGUUUGUUUUGGAGGAAACCUUGUAAACUCAUUGUGUCGAAGGUAAUGAAAGUAAUGAACCUUGAGUCUCAGUGGAAGGCUGCUGGGAGAGCAUGAGAUGCUUUGCUAAAAUGUGUCCAAAAGAAUGGUAUCAUGGUUUGUACACUGUGUCAGCUUGAGAAGUCUAGAAGAUUAACUGAGGAAUUCAGCAGCUCUGCUUGCUGUGUUGUAGAGGGCACAAGCAGUUACCAUUCUAGGAUAUUGUUCAUUGUCUCAAUUUGAGAAAUUUAGAAGUUUGAGAGCUUCAGCAAGGAGCCAGUGUUCUUAUUUUGUAAAUAUCCCUCCUCCUGUGCAAAAGGAAGGCAAGGAAAUUUUGUGAGUGCUAUACCAGCCCUGGAGAGGGGGUGGUGGCCUGUGUACAAUAUAAGAGAGGAAAAGAGACUUGCUCUACACCCCCCCAUACACACCUUUUUGCUCUGGCUGCUUUUGCUGACUGCUGCCUUGAAGUGUUGCCCCUGUUCCAUGCCACCCUGCUUUGGAGCCCGCUGAUGAUGAACUGAAACCUCCACAAACAAUGAGCUAAAUGAGCCUUUCCUUUCUUCAUUUUGGGUAUCAGGUAUUUUGUGCAGCAAUAAGGGGAAAAUGACCAAGACAAAUGGUAAACAUCAAGGCCAGACACAGCUAAAGAUGGUCCCUGGAAUAGUUAAACAAUUAAUUUUACCUGAACUUUACCCUUAUAGCAUCCACUUCUGUUCUUUGAAAAAGAAAAGACUAAUAAAAUCCAGAGAAAAUUGUAAUCAGGGCUUCAGUCCUAGAGGCUGUUGCCCUACAACCCCAUAACUUUCAUCUCUAUUGUUUUUUUUUCAUCCACCCCACACUUUUGGGACCUGUCUCUUCAUAGAAACCAAUAUACAAUUGUUUGAAUUUCCAAUUUUUUGUUAUUAUGAUUAAUAAUUACAUUAACUGCUUUUGUUCUGUCUCUUGGUGCCCAUACGCAAAAGUUUCUCUAGGGAAUAGACCUAGGAAUCAAAUUUUGGAAUAGUAGAACAUGAAAAAAUGUUCCAUUUUAUAAUUUAGGACCAAAUUGUUUUUGACAAUAUGUUAUUCCCACGUACAUCCCCAACUAUAGUGUAAUCAAAGCUCUUGGAGGAAGAGGUCAUAUAAAUACUAUCUUAAAAGCGAUUGUCAAUAUUGGUUCCUUUCGUGGUUAAACAUGAUCAUGGUUAUUGAAACAUAUUAAAUCUACAAUGUUUCUCAAAAAGCAUUUCCAGAUAUAAAAUUUUAUAAUUCUCAAUUUUAAAUGUUCUGAAAGUAAACAAAAUGAAUGUUUAGUAGCACAGCUAAGAAAAGAAAUUAAUGAUUUUAAAUAAAAAUGGCACUGUACAAUAGUAUUUUAGUUUGGACUUAUUUUAAUAUCUCACAUGUCUGUCAAAUGAAGAACUAAUGAGAUAGACAUCAACAAUGUUGGAGUACGAUGUAAUUCUAUUUCACUAGACUCCAAAGCUCAGAGUUGUUUUCUAUAAUGCCAGUUUUUCAUUAAUUACAGAAAUAUAUUGUUUUCUCUGUAAAACUGUCACAACAAAUCUGUUCAUACAAACCAUACUUAUCCUAAGAAUCCUUCGUCUAAUUGCCCUAGGCUUCUCUCUGAUAAUCUUGAAAAACGUUUCAUAAAUUCUAACAUUAACCUAUAGCAUUUCCUAAGUUUUGUAUCCUCAUUAACACAAACUAAUAUUCUAGCCAAUGUAUAAUCUGAAGAAUUUUGAAUAAUUGUUUCAUAGUGGAUCCAAUGAUGACAAGAAACAGUACAGAUGGGAAGACAAAAUUUUGUAUGUCCCUCUAUAGGAAGUAGGAAUAUUUUUUCUUUAGAACAUUUCAAAAAGAAAAAUAACAGCCUCAAGAAUACUACUAAAUCUCUAGAUAGUACAGCAAAACAAUAAGAAUAGGGCCUUUAAAAAUUUUCUGAGUUAAUUGAAACUUAUCUACUGGUAUUCCAUCAAAGUAGAUUAAUGUUAAUAUCCUAUUCUUGUACUCAGAUUCUUCUCAAAGCUUCACUGCAUACCCUGAAAAUAUAAUUAGAUUUCCCUUCAGCUUUCGUGUGUUCCCCAAAUCGCUUCCAUUUUAGUUGAGUGGCACCGGCCCAAAGACAAAAUUUGAUAGUCUAAGUAGUUUAAAAAUAAGAUUCUUUACAUAACUUUUCUGUUUUGUUUUGUUUCUUUAGAUACAGUGGUUAAUAGAACCACCACCCUGAAAAUACUAGUCACGAGAUAUAACUUGAAUAUUGAUUCAUAUAUAUGACAUUUCAUGCAAACAAAAAAUCAUGUGAUCUAAUACUAUACAUAGGCAAAAGUAAGACAUAUGUCUUGUUUCUAUGAUAUUCUCUAGUGAGCUCCUUAAGUUCCUCAUUCCUGCCUCUUAGGUCUCCUAAGUGACUGCCAACAUUGGUUCACUGCUGCCUGACCCCAAAUUGCCUGUAUAAUAAUUUCUCACAUUGUGACCACAACUCUUAAGUUAUUACUGCAUUGCUUGCAAAGUAAUGCUUCACUUGCUGGUCUUCAGCCAUAGUGGACUACAGGAACUCCUUAAAAGUCUCCCACUUCUUUUCAUCUUCCUCCAAACUGUUAUACUUCCACAAACGAUAUCAUAAUCUAAGAGGCUUUCAGUCAUCAGAAAGACCCUCACAACUAUCCAGACUCUCUGGACUAUGUGAGCUCUUGGACAUCCCAGAGGACAGCCGAUCCUUUAAUUCUCCUCUUAAGACUAAGUGCUAUAAAUUCUAAGAUUCUAAUAACAGGCACUAGUCAAGUCAGGUAUAACAAAUACUAUCUGCACCGAAUUCUAAUUGUUUAUGAUUCUUCUACUUCCUAAUUUUUUUUCUUUGUCAUGAUCCAAAUGACCCACAUAUUCAUGUUGUGACCCUCCUAUUUCUUGCUAUCUGAAAACUUCUUAUACUUUAUUUUCCUCCUUUAUGGAAUUAUUCUAAUACAUUUAGCCAAUGAUGCGCUAGUAAAUAUACUAAGGUACUUGUGCUCCAGAGAAAGUUAAAGGCUCUGAACUAUAUGUUUGCCAGUUCCCACUUUAGAAAUACUCUCACCUGAUUUCAGCCUAUACCACUAAAAAUGAAGUUGAAAAAAAUUGUUUUUCAGUAGCAACUAUAUAAUAUUUUAAUCAAACAGAUGUAAUGAAUACAAAUAAAUUCAAGAACAUAGACAAUAUUCAAAUGUAAAAUAAUUAAGAGGUAAUGAGUUCUGAGUAUUUAUUACUUUUAUUUUUAAUAUCAUUCACCUUACUAUAAGUUUCUGUGUGUUCAUUUUUAAUAUAUUCAUGCUUAACAGAAGACUAGCAAAACUCUUUUCUGUUGGAAGAAUACGUACAUUCUAUUGAAAUUCAACAUCCAUUUCUAACCUCUUUUAACUUUCCUCCCAUCAUGAAAAAUAGAUGACGAAAAUUACAUUUCCCAGAAUUCCUUGGAGCUGGAACUUUUGGAAGGCAAAAAGAAGCAUAAAUUAACUUUGCUGGCCAGUGGACAAGUUCUGGUAAACUAAUUUAAAUUACCCUUUCUUGUGUCUAGCUUUAUGAAAGAUGGGCAGCUGCCUAAUGACAGCCUCUCACUUCAGCUAGUAGGGCCUUACGAUAGUUUGAGUAUCUAAUUCUUUACAUUAAGUAUCUUUCUGGUUAAAUUCUCUAAAGUGUUUGUUGUUGUUAUUGUUCCUGCAUUAAACCCUAAUAUAGCAUA